AAAGUACUCCCUCCGUCCCAAAAUUCUUGUCUUAGAUUUGUCUAGAUACGGAUGUAUCAAGUCACAUUUUAGUAUUAGAUACAUCCGUAUCUAGACAAAUCUAUGAAAAGAAAUUUGGGACAGAGGGAGUAGUUG
rfam:Triticum aestivum genome assembly, contig: Triticum_aestivum_CS42_TGACv1_scaffold_457657_5DS